ACUAGAUUAGGUUGCUGAGAGCCCCGUCCAGACUGGCUGUGAAUGUUUCCAGGGACAUCUACCACCUCUCUGGGCAAUCUGUUCCUCCUCCUCCUCAAAGGAGACAAGUGAGCAAUGCACACAUCCUACCUCCUAAAAGCAACUGAGUUGCUCUGGCUGCCACACUCCAAUGGACCCGAAGCAUGAGUGAUGAUGAUGAUGCAGGUCAGUGGGAAGAUGUGGGGACAGGAUUCUAGCAUUUCACUCAGUAACCCCAGUAGCGCUGGGCACUGCCAAGCUGGGAACAAACUCUGGGGAGCCUCUGAAGCCUGGCUGUCCCCACUUGGUUUGGAGAGGGAAGAACAACUCUCUCCUUGGCUCUGGCACUCAUCGCCACCCCUCUUUUUCUAGCAAAAUACUCAUUUGGGGUUUCUGAGCUACCCUGGGGUCAGCAGCUCUGGAAGGACCCUGGAGGACAGCAGCACCACAAGGAGAGGCCCUUACUUCUGCCCUGGAGGUAUCUUUCACCACCACAGAGUGCAUGGGAAAACUCGGGGCAAGGGGUGAGCCCCCCGCCCCAAACCACAGAGCAGCUCUGAUGGGGCACCCACCCAGGGGUGCAGCCCAACACCCAGCUCACGCAAGAAGGGCUUGCCCAUCCAGGGCAUGGCUGCCGUGCCGGCGUUCACCACCGCUCCGUGCCACCCAGGGCUGACAGCCAGGGCAAGCACUGGUGAGAACAAGCCCUGGGCAAGAAACCCAGCUCUGCGUCCUGGCUUUGCAGCCCAGUGAAACAAAAUGAGAGGUGCAGCUCACCGGCUCCGAAGCACACACCCUUCCUAAUGAGAGUCGACCCAGGAGCUAUGCGGGAGUCCGCCCAUUCCCAGGCAGGCUUCAACGCCACUGAGAGCCAACGCUGGAGCCAGGCAGCCUCCGAGAAAAGAGACACGAAUUGGAAAUUUUGCUUUGAUGCCGGCUCGCCAGCCAGCCCCGGCACCAGGGAGGAGGAGGAGGAAGGAUUGCCGGCGCCCGCCCUGCUCCCUUGCGUGUGCCUACACGCGGGGCUGAGCUCAGCUGGAGAUCCUGGGAGAGGGAUGCAACAACUGCUGAGCAAGUGCGGAGUCACCUGCUGCGCCCGCCCUGACCGGGCUACGCACGGCUGGCACGGCCGAACCCCAAAACGGCAGCGAACCACCCGCCGCUGGACAAGGAAACCCAUGGAGGACGGCUGGCACGACCAGGAUGCUAUGAAAGGACCGCGUCGUAUGACCGUGCAUCAUCCUAAGAUGUCGGUAGGAAAAAAACCCAUUAUCUGCAGCUAAAUCUGGGCAGAGCGCAGUGCCAGGACCUCUUCUCAUCCCGAAAAGGUUAUGUUCCAGGAGACACAAAUAUUUUUUAUCAGCCUUGCCGCCGCUGUUAGCGCAGUAAUGAUGUCAAGCAUCACCCGGCGGCAACAGCAAGGUUCAGGACCUUGCAUUAACAGCAGUCUUGAUCUAGCUCUAGAAAGCCGACAGUUGCAACGGGACCAGAAUAAAUACAAAGGUCAGGCCUCCAGAGAAGUCCACCAACUUGACCACGAGGAAAAUGUAUGGGACUCCAGUACCAGUGAUACACACAAUCAAAAAUGAGCCUGGUUCAGGACACGAAGGACCACCUCUGCCCCAGCUCUUGCUGUUCAGCUACGGACCAUGGGCACAAAGCAGCUCAGUGGCUUGGCCAAAAAUCCAGCGGUUGGGUACAGAAACAUUACAGCUGAGCAUUCCAAACAGGGGGCUGCUACGCAAACUUAUUUACUGCUCAACUCUCCAUCACUCAGUCCUGCCGGGAAAGAGGGUUUAACUAAAAUCUCACAGUACGACAAGUGCAAUCAAUAGACUCUGUCCACAUGCAUCCCAGCUGUUGAAGCAGGACUUAUUUUAUCUGGUCUUUCAGGCACAGAUUAGCUCCUCUUCGGCACCACACAGCAUGAGAAACCUUGCCAUCCCCAGCUAAUCACUUGUCCCUGAUAAGUGACUGGAUUAGGCUGUUUCCAUUCUCAUUAGAGACCCUUAAACACAGACCUUAACUCUACCUUCAAUAAGAACCUCUACUUGUCUCUGUGGUUCAAAUUCUUCUGUACCAGCUCCUUCUGUUAGGUCGACAGUGCUAUCGUACCCGUAUCACUCACAUCUGUCAGCAAACUCUCCAGCUGCCCAGCCUGUGCAUCCACAGCUAACACGCAAUACUGGUCUUCACAUUAUGGAUCCAGUGUUACCGGUUUCCCUAACUUCCCAGGCCCUUUAUGGGAAUCUGCAGCCAAGCGCGGUGGCGGCAGCAGCUGCCACAAGUGGCCGGGCAGGGCACAGCACCACAUUCCUCCCCUGGGAACGAGCAGCGUGAAUAAACCUAAAAGCCGA